rnacentral:lncRNA from 1 species
AAGGUCUUCACCAAUUUGCAAUUAAUUGCUGGACAGAUCAAGGAUGAAUUUGAAGCCCGGACCCAAUCAUGAUGAAGUAUCUUCAGAAGAUGAAGGAUCUUAUAUCAACCUUGAAAUACUUUGGGAUCUUUUACAUUUUAAGAACUGAAAAUGCUCAAGCUGACAUACUCUCCCGACUUGCAACUACUUUCAACUCGCU